CAUAAGGGUGGGGCCUUCAUGAUGGCAUUAGCGCCUUUAUAAGAAGAGAUACCCAAGAACUCCCUCUUACUGUCUCUGCCAUAUGGCAGCUGGUGGUCACACUUAGGAUACAAUGAGAAUGCAACUAUCUGCAAGUCAGAAAAAAGGAACUACAGCUUGAUCUUGGACUUCCUAGCCUCCAGAAUUGAACAUGAAGCAAAGCAAAACUUUAUGUGCCUCCACCCCCUUUCAAUCAUUGACUGGAGAGAUAUCAAGGCUGAACUUUGAAAUACAUUCAAUCUAGAUUCAUGCAAGUUUUAUAAUUGUCAUGGCCUGAGAGAUCAUCCUUUCUCCUUUUAUAAAUGAGAAAACUGAAAACUAAAAUGUUGAGGAUCACACAACAUAAUAGUUCUAACGGAACUUGAACUGGAACCUAAUUUUCUUGCUUUUCCACUACUAUAGUUUUUUUUCCUCCCAAUUUUUGUAUUAUUUUAAAAGUGAGAAGAAACAUCACCAAAUUUCAAAUUCAAGAUCCAUGGAUGAGCUUAAAAGGUCCAUGAACUUCCAGAAAUUUUAAGUAAAAUGUUGUAUAUGUGCA